UCUCGUGCCCACCGGGAAAACUCCCCAUCUUCCCGAUGGCCACAACGCCUCUGGUCACAAAUCACCACUAAAUCACAACCCCGGGCUCUCUGUGUCCAGUCUUUUAAAGGUUGAACGUAUUUGAAUGGCGCAAAGAAGAGAAAACGUCAAAUCAUUGAAGUAGCCUACGCAGUGCAUGAAUGCACCAAAGUCUGAGUUUGUCCAUGGAGGCGGAGCAAGGGGUUGGGCGAGGUGCCAGGUGUUAGGGGAGGGGAGGAGAGGACGUCUUGUUUAGGAAACAAAACUUAACAUUCACAGAAACCAAAGCAACCGACGUGGCAGCAGUUUCCUCUUUCAGGCGAGAAAAUAAAACACAUUGUCUGACGGACAGAAACCACAUCAAGGAUUGUGUUCAUUCUUUUUGUACAUUGCACACUACGUGUAUUCACAUGGCAAAGGUAAACACAUUUAGAUGUGUGAACCUAAAACAGAGAUGAACUCCCACUGGGUGAGGUCAGCUGAGUGAAUCUUUAUGGUGACGCUGACGCCCCCGCUCAUGCGGAGUCCUUCUCCCCAUAAGCCACGCCCACUGACUGCCUGGACUUCGCGAGGAGAGGGAGAGACCCCGACGCUGUUGGCACGAGAGCCGUGGACCGCGAUACCUCUGAGCAGCCAGCAGCAUGGGAAUGAAUAACCCCAUCACACGUUUGAUAUGUGUUUCACCUUCUCCCUGAUGGUCUGAAUAAGUCGCCCAGUGUGUCGUCAGUCGCCUUUUGGAAAUAAAGGCGCAAAGAGAGUCAAUGCCGAUGAUUCUCCCGUUUCUUCAGUCCAAAUCCUCCAAGCUGAGCAGAUGUUUCUCCAGAGCUCUCUGUUGGUCAUCCUAGCAGCACACCUGGAAGGUCCUUCCAGCCCCUUGGAUCCCAGCAGGUCUCUAAGGUGUCCUGCCCCCUGACGUUGGCCCAGUCUUCAGUCCCUCCCGCCGGCUCUUCCUCAACUCACUGGUGGCUUGGUGGACCAUGUCAGACCUCUGGAGACAUCCCAGCAUGUCAACAACAAUGGAAUAUUUGUUAUUAUGAAUAAUAAAGUACGUAUAUAAUCGAA